rnacentral:rRNA from 1 species
GACGAACGCUUGCGGCGUGCCUAAUGUAUGCAAGUCGAGCGGGCCGGGCGCAAGUCCGGCUAGCGGCGAACGGUUGAGUAACACGUAGACAACCUGCCCCCAGGUUGGGGAUAACUCGCCGAAAGGCGGGCUAAUACCGAAUGUGGCGUUCCUGCGCAUGCGGGGAUGGCUAAAGGCGGAAGCCGCCUGGGGAUGGGUCUGCGGCCUAUCAGCUCGUUGGUGGGGUAACGGCUCACCAAGGCGACGACGGGUAGCUGGCCUGAGAGGGUGGUCAGCC